GUUGUGAAAUGUUGGGUUAAGUCCCGCAACGAGCGCAACCCUUAUCCUUUGUUGCCAGCGAUUAGGUCGGGAACUCAAAGGAGACUGCCAGUGAUAAACUGGAGGAAGGUGGGGAUGACGUCAAGUCAUCAUGGCCCUUACGACCAGGGCUACACACGUGCUACAAUGGCGCAUACAAAGAGAAGCGACCUCGCGAGAGCAAGCGGACCUCAUAAAGUGCGUCGUAGUCCGGAUUGGAGUCUGCAACUCGACUCCAUGAAGUCGGAAUCGCUAGUAAUCGUGGAUCAGAAUGCCACGGUGAAUACGUUCCCGGGCCUUGUACACACCGCCCGUCACACCAUGGGAGUGGGUUGCAAAAGAAGUAGGUAGCUUAACCUUCGGGAGGGCGCUUACCACUUUGUGAUUCAUGACUGGGGUGAAGUCGUAACAAGGUAACCGUAGGGGAACCUGC
rnacentral:rRNA from 1 species